CAUGCUCUGUGCUACCGAACUGCUGAUUCGUGUGAGUCAUUAAAUGACAUUAUUUUUGGGUGAACUAACCCUUUAACACUGUUUAUCAGACUUGUCAGAGGCUCCAGGAUGAGGCUGCAAGGCUAGCUGAACUAAAAACAGAGCUACAUUGCACAGAUGAAUUGGUGUCACAGUGGCUCUCUGAUGUGAAGGAAUGGGCAGCUGAUGAGACACCAGAUACAUCUCAUGCCAGCAGCACACACAGAGGACUUCAGCAGUCAAUUGAGGGGCA
rnacentral:lncRNA from 1 species